rnacentral:lncRNA from 10 species
GUCUUCAUUCACCCUGAUGUUUCCCCUCGCAGUCCGUCCUUGGGUGAAGAUGUGACUAUUCUCUCUGCCCUGCUUGAAAGUAAGAACCUGUAAUAGGAUAGUCUAACAAGAAUACUGGUUGAAGUGAUGACUUAGAGAGAGGUCUUGAGAUACAAUUUUGGGGCAAAUAUUUAAGUUUAUGUUUAAAUUGUACAUUAUGUUGUCAAUUUUCUGGAUGGUUAAACUGACGGCAAAGUUGCAUUAGGAAAGAAGAAAAAAGGGAGGGAGGAGGGAGU